rnacentral:lncRNA from 1 species
AGUUGGGGCAGUCGGGAUCGGGUCAUCCGGUCGGAUCUUUUUCGGAGCCAAUUUAGAAUUCCCGGGUCUGCCCCUCAACCAUUCGGUCCACGCUGAGCAGUUCCUUAUCACCAACCUUUCCCUCAAUGCGGAGCCGCGUCUUAAAUACUUCGCCGUCUCCGCCGCUCCUUGUGGUCAUUGCCGCCAGUUUUUCCAAGAGCUCCGCGGUGCUCCCGACGUCAAGAUGCUCAUAACUUCCUCCGAUGAUGAAAAGGAAAACAAAAUAAGCAACACUUGUAAUGAUAAAGACCAAGAAUUUACCCCUUUGUCUCAUUUUUUACCUCACAGGUUCGGCCCCGAUGAUUUGCUAGGAAAAGAUGCUCCUCUCCUCCUCGACCCUCGCCGGAACGGCUUGUCGUUUACCUCCGACGGCGGCGAGUACGACGAGUUAAAACACGCGGCUCUCGAUGCGGCGAACAUGUCGUACGCACCUUAUAGCGGGUGUCCAUCCGGAGUGGCGUUGAUAGACGUUGAAGGGAAGAUAUACAAAGGGUCUUACAUGGAAUCCGCCGCUUACAACCCGAGUCUACCGCCAGUUCAGGCGG